rnacentral:rRNA from 1 species
CGCGUAGGCGGACUGUCAAGCGUUUUGUGAAAGCCCUCGGCUCAACCGAGGAAUUGCUUGGCGAACUGGCAGUCUUGAGGCAGGUAGGGGCAAGUGGAACUCUUGGUGGAGCGGUGGAAUGCGUAGAUAUCAAGAGGAACGCCGGCGGCGAAGGCGACUUGCUGGGCCUGUCCUGACGCUGAGGCGCGAAAGCCAGGGGAGCGAACG